GACGAACGCUGGCGGCGUGCUUAACACAUGCAAGUCGAACGGGCCCGCCCCUGUUUUUGGGGGUGGGUUGAGUGGCGAACGGGUGAGUAUCACGUGAGUAACCUGCCCCCUGCUCCUGGAUAACUGCUUGAAAGGGCGGCUAAUACGGGGUGUGCCGGCUGGUCCGCAUGGGCCUGGUCGGGAUAGUUUCAUCUUCGGGUGUUUCGGUGGGGGAUGGGCUCGCGGCCUAUCAGCUUGUUGGUGGGGUGAUGGCCCACCAAGGCGGUGACGGGUAGCCGGCCUGAGAGGGUGGGCGGCCACACUGGGACUGAGACACGGCCCAGACUCCUGCGGGAGGCAGCAGUGGGGGGUAUUGCACAAUGGGCGGAAGCCUGAGGCAGCGACGUCGCGUGAGGGAUGGAGGCCUUCGGGUGGUGAACCUCUUUCUCCGGUGGUGAAGGCCCUGUCCGUUGCGGCGGGGUUGACGGUAGCCGGGUAUGAAGCGCCGGCUAACUACGUG
rnacentral:rRNA from 1 species